UGGGGAAUUUUGCGCAAUGGGGGAAACCCUGACGCAGCAACGCCGCGUGAGUGAAGAAGGCCUUCGGGUCGUAAAGCUCUGUCGGGUGGGAAGAAACGUAUGGAGGUAAAUAAUCUUCAUACUUGACGGUACCGCCAAAGGAAGCACCGGCUAACUCCGUGCCAGCAGCCGCGGUAAUACGGGGGGUGCAAGCGUUGUUCGGAAUUAUUGGGCGUAAAGAGCGUGUAGGCGGCGUGAUAAGUCAGAUGUGAAAGCCCUGGGCUUAACCCAGGAAGUGCAUUUGAAACUGUCAUGCUUGAGUACGGGAGAGGGAAGAGGAAUUCCUGGUGUAGAGGUGAAAUUCGUAGAUAUCAGGAGGAACACCGGUGGCGAAGGCGACUUCCUGGCCCGAUACUGACGCUGGGACGCGAGAGCGUGGGGAGCAAACA
rnacentral:rRNA from 1 species